rnacentral:rRNA from 1 species
GACGAACGCUGGCGGCGUACUUAACACAUGCAAGUCGAACGGAAAGGCCCUGCUUUUGUGGGGUGCUCGAGUGGCGAACGGGUGAGUAACACGUGAGUAACCUGCCCUUGACUUUGGGAUAACUUCAGGAAACUGGGGCUAAUACCGGAUAGGAGCUCCUGCUGCAUGGUGGGGGUUGGAAAGUUUCGGCGGUUGGGGCUGGACUCGCGGCUUAUCAGCUUGUUGGUGGGGUAGUGGCUUACCAAGGCUUUGACGGGUAGCCGGCCUGAGAGGGUGACCGGCCACAUUGGGACUGAGAUACGGCCCAGACUCCUACGGGAGGCAGCAGUGGGGAAUAUUGCACAAUGGGCGGAAGCCUGAUGCAGCAACGCCGCGUGCGGGAUGACGGCCUUCGGGUUGUAAACCGCUUUCGCCUGUGACGAAGCGUGAGUGACGGUAAUGGGUAAAGAAGCACCGGCUAACUACGUG